AUUGAACGCUGGCGGCAGGCCUUACACAUGCAAGUCGAACGAGUGGCGGACGGGUGAGUAAUGUCUGGGAAACUGCCUGAUGGAGGGGGAUAACUACUGGAAACGGUAGCUAAUACCGCAUACCAUUAGAGGUGCCCAGAUGGGAUUAGCUAGUUGGUGGGGUAACGGCUCACCAGGGAGACGAUCCCUAGCUGGUUUGAGAGGAUGACCAGCCACACUGGAACUGAGACACGGUCCAUACUCCUACGGGAGGCAGCAGUGGGGAAUAUUGCACAAUGGGCUGAAGCCUGAUGCAGCCAUGCCGCGUGUAUGAUGAAGGCCUUCGGGUUGUAAAGUACUUUCCGCGGGGAGGCGUUACCCGCAGAAGAAGCACCGGCUAACUCCGUGCCAGCAGCCGCGGUAAUUC
rnacentral:rRNA from 1 species